GACUUACGUUGAAAAGUGAGCGGAUGAACUGAGGGUAGCGGAGAAAUUCCAAUCGAACCUGGAGAUAGCUGGUUCUCUCCGAAAUAGCUUUAGGGCUAGCCUCAAGUGAUGAUUAUUGGAGGUAGAGCACUGUUUGGACGAGGGGCCCCUCUCGGGUUACCGAAUUCAGACAAACUCCGAAUGCCAAUUAAUUUAACUUGGGAGUCAGAACAUGGGUGAUAAGGUCCGUGUUCGAAAGGGAAACAGCCCAGACCACCAGCUAAGGUCCCAAAAUAUAUGUUAAGUGGAAAAGGAUGUGGCGUUGCCCAGACAACUAGGAUGUUGGCUUAGAAGCAGCCAUCAUUUAAAGAGUGCGUAAUAGCUCACUAGUCGAGUGACACUGCGCCGAAAAUGUACCGGGGCUAAACAUAUUACCGAAGCUGUGGAUUGUCCUUUGGACAAUGGUAGGAGAGCGUUCUAAGGGCGUUGAAGCAUGAUCGUAAGGACAUGUGGAGCGCUUAGAAGUGAGAAUGCCGGUGUGAGUAGCGAAAGACGGGUGAGAAUCCCGUCCACCGAUUGACUAAGGUUUCCAGAGGAAGGCUCGUCCGCUCUGGGUUAGUCGGGUCCUAAGCUGAGGCCGACAGGCGUAGGCGAUGGAUAACAGGUUGAUAUUCCUGUACCACCUAUAAUCGUUUUAAUCGAUGGGGGGACGCAGUAGGAUAGGCGAAGCGUGCGAUUGGAUUGCACGUCUAAGCAGUAAGGCUGAGUAUUAGGCAAAUCCGGUA
rnacentral:rRNA from 1 species